AGUGAACGCUGGCGGUAGGCCUAACACAUGCAAGUCGAACGGCAGCACAGUAAGAGCUUGCUCUUACGGGUGGCGAGUGGCGGACGGGCGAGGAAUACAUCGGAAUCUACUUUUUCGUGGGGGAUAACGUAGGGAAACUUACGCUAAUACCGCAUACGACCUACGGGUGAAAGCAGGGGAUCUUCGGACCUUGCGCGAUUGAAUGAGCCGCUGUCGGAUUAGCUCGUUGGCGGGGUAAAGGCCCACCAAGGCGACGAUCCGUAGCUGGUCUGAGAGGAUGAUCAGCCACACUGGAACUGAGACACGGUCCAGACUCCUACGGGAGGCAGCAGUGGGGAAUAUUGGACAAUGGGCGCAAGCCUGAUCCAGCCAUACCGCGUGGGUGAGGAAGGCCUUCGGGUUGUAAAGCCCUUUUGUUGGGAAAGAAAAGCAGCAGGUUAAUACCCCACUGUUCUGACGGUACCCAAAGAAUAAGCACCGGCUAACUUCGUG
rnacentral:rRNA from 1 species